GGUUUCCAUGUUUCAAUCAUAGGAAUUUUGAUCUCCAAUUUCUUGAAGAUCUCCAUACAGUACUUGAACUUCUUUUCCUUCCUAUGAUUUUUCUUUUUAUGAGGAAGCGGCUUUUUAUGUGAUCUUUUCUUCUUUCCUCUCUUCCUCUUUUUCUCAACCUUCUCCUUCUUCCACUUUCUUUUUUUCUUUUUUCUUAUUUUCUUAUUUUUUUCUUUUUUCUCAACCACUGCUUUUUCUUUCUCCUCAUCUUUCUCUCCCUCACUCAACCUUUCUGCUUCAUCUUCCUCUAUUUUCUCCUCUUCUAUCUUUUCCACUUCUCUCUCCACCUUCUCCUU
rnacentral:lncRNA from 1 species